CAGUAGCCGCGGUAAUACGGAGGGUGCAAGCGUUAAUCGGAAUUACUGGGCGUAAAGCGCACGCAGGCGGUCUGACAAGUCAGAUGUGAAAUCCCCGGGCUUAACCUGGGAACUGCAUUUGAAACUGUCAGGCUGGAGUCUUGUAGAGGGGGGUAGAAUUCCAGGUGUAGCGGUGAAAUGCGUAGAGAUCUGGAGGAAUACCGGUGGCGAAGGCGGCCCCCUGGACAAAGACUGACGCUCAGGUGCGAAAGCGUGGGGAGCAAACAGGAUUAGAUACCCCAGUAGCCCUGUCUCUUAUACA
rnacentral:rRNA from 1 species